CAGGCUUAACACAUGCAAGUCGAGGGGCAGCAUGGUCUUAGCUUGCUAAGGCCGAUGGCGACCGGCGCACGGGUGAGUAACGCGUAUCCAACCUGCCUUACACUCUUGGACAGCCUUCUGAAAGGGAGAUUAAUACAAGAUGUUAUCAUGAGUAAGCAUUUUCGCAUGAUUAAAGGUUUACCGGUGUAAGAUGGGGAUGCGUUCCAUUAGAUAGUAGGCGGGGUAACGGCCCACCUAGUCUUCGAUGGAUAGGGGUUCUGAGAGGAAGGUCCCCCACAUUGGAACUGAGACACGGUCCAAACUCCUACGGGAGGCAGCAGUGAGGAAUAUUGGUCAAUGGACGAGAGUCUGAACCAGCCAAGUAGCGUGAAGGAUGAAGGUUCUAUGGAUUGUAAACUUCUUUUAUACGGGAAUAAACGAAUCCACGUGUGGAUUUUUGCAUGUACCGUAUGAAUAAGGAUCGGCUAACUCCGUGCCAGCAGCCGCGGUAAUACGGAGGAUCCGAGCGUUAUCCGGAUUUAUUGGGUUUAAAGGGAGCGUAGAUGGGUUGUUAAGUCAGUUGUGAAAGUUUGCGGCUCAACCGUAAAAUUGCAAUUGAUACUGGCAGUCUUGAGUACAGUUGAGGUAGGCGGAAUUCGUGGUGUAGCGGUGAAAUGCUUAGAUAUCACGAAGAACUCCGAUUGCGAAGGCAGCUUACUAACCUGUAACUGACAUUGAUGCUCGAAAGUGUGGGUAUCAAACAGGAUUAGAUACCCUGGUAGUCCACACGGUAAACGAUGAAUACUCGCUGUAGGCGAUAUACAGUCUGCGGCCAAGCGAAAGCAUUAAGUAUUCCACCUGGGGAGUACGCCGGCAACGGUGAAACUCAAAGGAAUUGACGGGGGCCCGCACAAGCGGAGGAACAUGUGGUUUAAUUCGAUGAUACGCGAGGAACCUUACCCGGGCUUAAAUUGCAACCGAAUAUGGCGGAAACGCUAUAGCUAGCAAUAGCGGUUGUGAAGGUGCUGCAUGGUUGUCGUCAGCUCGUGCCGUGAGGUGUCGGCUUAAGUGCCAUAACGAGCGCAACCCUUGCCGAUAGUUACUAACAGGUCAUGCUGAGGACUCUGUCGGGACUGCCAUCGUAAGAUGUGAGGAAGGUGGGGAUGACGUCAAAUCAGCACGGCCCUUACGUCCGGGGCUACACACGUGUUACAAUGGGGGGUACAGAGGGCUGCUACCACGCAAGUGGAUGCCAAUCCCAAAAACCUCUCUCAGUUCGGAUUGAAGUCUGCAACCCGACUUCAUGAAGCUGGAUUCGCUAGUAAUCGCGCAUCAGCCACGGCGCGGUGAAUACGUUCCCGGGCCUUGUACACACCGCCCGUCAAGCCAUGGGAGCCGGGGGUACCUGAAGUGCGUAACCGCAAGGAGCGCCCUAGGGUAAAACUGGUGACUGGGGC
rnacentral:rRNA from 1 species